CCUACGGGAGGCAGCAGUGGGGAAUCUUGCGCAAUGGGCGAAAGCCUGACGCAGCCAUGCCGCGUGGAUGAUGAAGGUCUUAGGAUUGUAAAAUCCUUUCACCGGUGAAGAUAAUGACUGUAGCCGGAGAAGAAGCCCCGGCUAACUUCGUGCCAGCAGCCGCGGUAAUACGAAGGGGGCUAGCGUUGCUCGGAAUUACUGGGCGUAAAGGGAGCGUAGGCGGACAUUUAAGUCAGAGGUGAAAUCCCGGAGCUUAACUUCGGAACUGCCUUUGAUACUGGGUGUCUUGAGUGUGAGAGAGGUAUGUGGAACUCCGAGUGUAGAGGUGAAAUUCGUAGAUAUUCGGAAGAACACCAGUGGCGAAGGCGACAUACUGGCUCAUUACUGACGCUGAGGCUCGAAAGCGUGGGGAGCAAACAGGAUUAGAUACCCUGGUAGUCCACGCCGUAAACGAUGAUUGCUAGUUGUCGGGAAGCUUGCUUCUCGGUGACGCAGCUAACGCAUUAAGCAAUCCGCCUGGGGAGUACGGUCGCAAGAUUAAAACUCAAAAGAGUAAGUAGGACGCGUAGACGACGUCGACCGGAGGACCAACGACGGGAAGGGUUAAGGAGG
rnacentral:rRNA from 1 species